rnacentral:rRNA from 1 species
GUCGGUAAAACUCGUGCCAGCCACCGCGGUUAUACGAGAGACUCAAGUUGAUAACCCAUCGGCGUAAAGGGUGGUUAAAUUAUACAACAUUAAUAAAGUUAAAUGCUCGCAAGACUGUUACACGUUUCCGCGGGUAAGAAGCCCAACCACGAAAGUGACUUUAUAUUAUUGACACCACUAAAGCUGUGAAACAAACUGGGAUUAGAUACCCCACUAUG